UACCGCUAUGUGGUGAUAGGGUUUCAACGUUCAAGUGUCUAUAAAGCGAGCAAAUUUUCGUUAUUAAGAAAAAGAAACUGAUUAAGAGAAUUACCUUGUGGAAUGUGACUUUUGUAAUCCCGUCUUCAAAAAUAGAUCCUCAUCUUUUUUUUUAUACGCCAUCUGAUCCGCAAGAUACAUGAAUAAAAAUUUAUAAAUUACUUCCAAAUAUUGAAUCACUUUAAGUAGAUUAUUUUAAAAAGUUGUGCCUUCAAAUAUAUUUUUAUACAUGCAAUGAUGUUUGUGGGAGUUAUAAACGUAUAUAAAAAGAGAGCACAUGUAUAUAGAUGGAGUUUACAUCUGACUUUGAACGAAUUAGAGUACUAAGAAUAUAUAAUUCGUAUGGAUCAAUGAAUCAAACAUCUUUUAAAGAACCUUUCAUUUGUAAUUUAAGAUACAGUCCCAUUUAAUUAACUGUUUUUACUACAUUAUCAUGUUUUUCAACAAUCGCAAUAUACACGGAAAUUUGUUAUAUUUGAUUCGAUAUUUUUCUUUAUUUGUUCGAUAUUUUACUUUGUGUAUACGUUGCGCUCGCGACGCACAUGUAAUAUGAUAUAACGCAAAUAUUUAGGCUGUGCUACUUUACAAUACAACUAGAUAAUACAAGGUAAACAAUGCACGAAAAUCAUUAUCAACAAAUGUUUACUGAUAAAGUAAAAUUUACUGCAAUUAUAUCAUUUCGCAAGAAGAAAAAGAAAAAAAAAAUACGAUGUUUUCUUGAUAUUUAAACGUAUUUAAUACUUUAGUUAUUUUUAAUACGAUUGAAAAAUUCGUCCGAUAAUAUAUCAACGAUAAUCUGGUAAUUUAUCAAAACUAAGCACCCCAUGUUCUACAAGACACGUUCUUAGAAGUACCUAGUUUUUAUUUCAUUUCACAAGUUCUGCAAUAUUUAUUGCUCAAGGAAACGAGGAUCUACGCGAAAGUCUUAAAGUAACCACGAUGGUCAUUAAGAAGCAGGAUUAUCAUUUAUUUGUCUCUCAAACAUUUCUUAGUCAUUUCUUUACAUUUAAAUUCUUUCAUCUAACUUUAGAAAUAUUGAUAACCGAAGUAUUUAUAUUUUAUAAACAUGUUAUUCUAAAAUCUUAUCAAAUUUAUCAUUCAGUCUCAUAAAAUGAGUAAUACGUGGUUCUCCGAUGCAAUCCUAAACGAUGAGAAGUAUUAUGUAAAUACGUUUUCCGAUCCUUUUAAUAUAUGUAUAUAUAUACAUGUAUUUUAUCCAAUUAGCGAAUUUCGAAUUGGCAACUGAUUGUGAGUUUCUUGCCUUAAGCAGCUGUAGGAAAUUUUGAUUUGUUUUUCUCUUUUCUCCUACAGGUGUAAUGCAUAAUCAGAUGAAACAUAGUUUACCAUAAAUAUUUCCCAUACUGAUAACGGUUCUAUUUGGGAACAUUUUGUAUGUGUUCUUUCAUUACUUAUUGUAUAAACUGUGGCUGACGCAAACCGGAAAAAGAUUGGUUUAGCUUGUACAAAUAAUGCACAAGAUUAAUAAAACAAUUCAAAAGGAUAAAAUAACAGAAUGUAAUUAAGAAAAUCUUUGCAGCUCGUGCAAGUGGCCGUUUUUUAUCGGUCGAUGCAAAUUACAAAUUUUCCAUUAUAACUGGCAGUUUGAUUAUGGAUUGGACAAAUAUUAACUCAUGACGCCGAAAAAAUGUAUUUGAAAUAAUCGUGUGAACAAGCAGAAGAUUUUAACUUCUUACUUCGUAGUACAAGAUAAAAAUUGCAGUACAAAUCGACCUAAAAAAUAUGUCAAUAUUAACUUGGAAUAAAUGCGUCAUCUAUGACUUCAAGAGAAUAUGCAAGAAAAUCACGCUUUCUCACAUUCUUCGGCAAACGAUGACGUCAAGAUUCAGCUGAAAACAGAUUACUCUGUGAUUUUGGGGAUUUUCGGAUUACCCAAUUUCGUUUUUUACCAUCCCUGGUAACUUUUAAUGAAUUCUUGAAGUUGUCCUUUCUACGGAGCAACGCUUCGAAGUAAUUUCGAUAGAAAAUAAAAAAUCAUGCGGUAUAUUAAAAUCCAUGUAUAACUGCAAAUGUCAAUAUGUUAUCGUUGAUCAUUAAAGUAAAUAGAUUUACGAGCACGUCUUACGUUCGUUAAGCUAAAGAGAAGCCAUUAAUAGUAGGCUGUUAUCGAAUGUCCAUUUCCGCGGGUGUGGUUUAUCAGUGAGACAUUAGAUGAGGUUAAAAAUAGAAAGUACUUUGUCAUGAUACAUAGGUAUAUAUAACCGAUAUAUAACUUCAGUAUAUGCUAUGAUAUUAUCUAUAUCCGAAAAUAUUGGAAAGAUAUAGAGAUCAAAUAUACAUCCAUACGUAUACAUACAAAUUGGCUCGCAAAAGUAUUCGUACAUUUACCAUGGAAUAUUUUCAUGUGCGUGUCAUGCGCAUUAUAUAAAACAUUCUGAAAUUGUAUUAACGCUGUGAUGAGACACGACUGAUAUGACUAUAUCGGAAAAACUCGAAUCCAAUUUGAAAAUAUACAUGCAUACUCAGAAGUUGCAAGGUAUUUACUGUAAACUUAUAUCUAGUAAACAGUUAGUAUUAUGAAUAAUUAGUAGAAAAAUCUUAAGCAUAUUAUAAUAACUAUUAAAAUGAAUGACUGCCUGUUCAAAUAUUUUUGUGUCUGCAAAAUAUAUACAUCUUGCAAUUUCUAUAUACGUUUACAAAAAACUCGAAGAAAGGAAUUCCAAGAGUUAAAAAUUCUAUCAAAUAAUAGUUAUUAAUAAUCAUAAUAUUUGGGCAUCGUUACAGUGCCAAUAAAAUUUUGAAAUGUUUCGUUUAACACACGUGAUAAUGUUCAUGAGAAGUGUGCGACUAGUGCGAGAGCUACACAGUUGCAUUUUUUUACUACUAUUUGCAUAUGUAUUGAAUAACAUGUAGUGAUUUAUCAAAUUAAUUUCCUCAGAAAAAUGUUGUUAAUGUAACAUUUCAUCUUUAGUUACGUGUAAGUUAAUGAAAUGUAAAUUACAAAUGGUUUGUAAAUUAAUUUCUUAAAGACUGACUUGCCAUUUUUUUUCCACUAUUUCCUACAGGGUUAUUUUAAUAAUUUCGUAAUCUAAGCGUUAAAAUAUAUCGAUUGGCAUAUAACAUGUGCAUUUUAUAAGAUGUGCUUUGCAAAUAUUUCCAUUCUAUGUUGUUUUGCAAGACGAUGACAAUAAUGCGAUAAAAAGUUCUGAAAAAUUCAUUAAUAACUCAUCAUUAAUUUUUAUGUUUUAACCUUGGAAUUUGAUAGACUUUGAAGUACGAAUUUAUAACAUCAUAAUAAAUUAUCUUCUUUGUAUAAUCAGCAUCUAUAAAGCAACGUGUAAGAUAUUUUCCUCUCAUUAUCCGACUUUUUACGUAUUUUUUCACUGUUUAGUCCCUAAUGAGUAAAUAAACACGGAUUAAGUUGCGAUUAAUUAUAUAAAAUAUACAUGAAACCAGAAGGCGAAGGAGGAAAUAAUAGAUCAUAUCAAUUGUUAAGUACAAUAAUCUCCAAUAAUAGAUUAAGAUAAAACGUCUCUUGAAAUUGUAUCGAUAGUAUCAAUUAAUAUUGUAUAAUACAAAAUGUACUCUCUUCUUCUAAAAAUAAAAUUCGAAGAAUUAUAUUA